AUUGAACGCUGGCGGCAGGCCUAACACAUGCAAGUCGAGCGGAUGAAGGGAGCUUGCUCCUGGAUUCAGCGGCGGACGGGUGAGUAAUGCCUAGGAAUCUGCCUGGUAGUGGGGGAUAACGUCCGGAAACGGGCGCUAAUACCGCAUACGUCCUGAGGGAGAAAGUGGGGGAUCUUCGGACCUCACGCUAUCAGAUGAGCCUAGGUCGGAAUAGCUAGUUGGUGGGGUAAAGGCCUACCAAAGCGACGAUCCGUAACUGGUCUGAGAGGGUGAUCAGUUAAAAUGGGAACUAGAAAACGGUCCGAAUUCCAACGGGAGGCAGCGUGGGGGAAUAUGGGACAUGGGGCGAAAGCUUAAUCCGGCAUAGCGGGGGGGUGGAAGAAGGUCUUCGGAUGGUAAAGCACUUUAAGUUGAAAGAAAAGGAAGUAAUUUAAUACCUGGCUUUUUGAACGUAACCAACAGAAAAGGCACCGGCUAACUUCUG
rnacentral:rRNA from 1 species